AGUGAACGCUGGCGGUAGGCCUAACACAUGCAAGUCGAACGGCAGCACAGUAAGAGCUUGCUCUUACGGGUGGCGAGUGGCGGACGAGUGAGGAAUACAUCGGAAUCUACUUUUUCGUGGGGGAUAACGUAGGGAAACUUACGCUAAUACCGCAUACGACCUACGGGUGAAAGCAGGGGAUCUUCGGACCUUGCGCGAUUGAAUGAGCCGAUGUCGGAUUAGCUAGUUGGCGGGGUAAAGGCCCACCAAGGCGACGAUCCGUAGCUGGUCUGAGAGGAUGAUAAGCGACACUGUAACUGAGAGACGGUCCAGACUCCUAAGGGAGACAGAACUGGGGAAUAUUGGACAAUGGGCGCAAGACUGAUACAGCCCUAGCGCGUGGGGGAAAAAGAGCUUCGGGUUUUAAAGCCCUUUUUUUGGGAAAAAAAAGCAGCGGAUUAAUACACCGCUGUGUUGUCAGUACCCCAAGAAUAAGAACCGGCUCACUUCGUG
rnacentral:rRNA from 1 species